rnacentral:tRNA from 1 species
AGGAUGGUGGCGCAGUCUGGUAGCGCAACGCGGCGGGGGAGGUCAGGGGUUCGAAUCCCUUCCUUUCGA